AUACGGAGGGUCCAAGCGUUAUCCGGAAUCAUUGGGUUUAAAGGGUCCGUAGGCGGGCAAUUAAGUCAGAGGUGAAAUCCCACAGCUCAACUGUGGAACUGCCUUUGAUACUGGUUGUCUCGAAUUAUAGUGAAGUAGAUAGAAUAUGUAGUGUAGCGGUGAAAUGCUUAGAUAUUACAUAGAAUACCGAUUGCGAAGGCAGUCUACUAACUGUAUAUUGACGCUGAUGGACGAAAGCGUGGGGAGCGAACAGGAUUAGAAACCCCUGUAGUCC
rnacentral:rRNA from 1 species